ensembl:snRNA U6 U6 spliceosomal RNA
GUGUUCGCUUCGGCAACACAUAUACUAAAAUUGGAACGAUACAGAGAAGAUUAGCAUGGCCCCUGCGCAAGUAUGACACGCAAAUUCGUGAAGCGUUCCAAAAUUUU